CACAUGCAAGUCGAGCGGUAGCACAGAGAGCUUGCUCUCGGGUGACGAGCGGCGGACGGGUGAGUAAUGUCUGGGAAACUGCCUGAUGGAGGGGGAUAACUACUGGAAACGGUAGCUAAUACCGCAUAACGUCGCAAGACCAAAGUGGGGGACCUUCGGGCCUCAUGCCAUCAGAUGUGCCCAGAUGGGAUUAGCUAGUAGGUGGGGUAACGGCUCACCUAGGCGACGAUCCCUAGCUGGUCUGAGAGGAUGACCAGCCACACUGGAACUGAGACACGGUCCAGACUCCUACGGGAGGCAGCAGUGGGGAAUAUUGCACAAUGGGCGCAAGCCUGAUGCAGCCAUGCCGCGUGUGUGAAGAAGGCCUUCGGGUUGUAAAGCACUUUCAGCGGGGAGGAAGGCGAUAAGGUUAAUAACCUUGUCGAUUGACGUUACCCGCAGAAGAAGCACCGGCUAACUCCGUGCCAGCAGCCGCGGUAAUACGGAGGGUGCAAGCGUUAAUCGGAAUUACUGGGCGUAAAGCGCACGCAGGCGGUCUGUCAAGUCGGAUGUGAAAUCCCCGGGCUCAACCUGGGAACUGCAUUCGAAACUGGCAGGCUAGAGUCUUGUAGAGGGGGGUAGAAUUCCAGGUGUAGCGGUGAAAUGCGUAGAGAUCUGGAGGAAUACCGGUGGCGAAGGCGGCCCCCUGGACAAGACUGACGCUCAGGUGCGAAAGCGUGGGGAGCAAACAGGAUUAGAUACCCUGGUAGUCCACGCCGUAAACGAUGUCGAUUUGGAGGUUGUGCCCUUGAGGCGUGGCUUCCGGAGCUAACGCGUUAAAUCGACCGCCUGGGGAGUACGGCCGCAAGGUUAAAACUCAAAUGAAUUGACGGGGGCCCGCACAAGCGGUGGAGCAUGUGGUUUAAUUCGAUGCAACGCGAAGAACCUUACCUGGUCUUGACAUCCACAGAACUUAGCAGAGAUGCUUUGGUGCCUUCGGGAACUGUGAGACAGGUGCUGCAUGGCUGUCGUCAGCUCGUGUUGUGAAAUGUUGGGUUAAGUCCCGCAACGAGCGCAACCCUUAUCCUUUGUUGCCAGCGGUUAGGCCGGGAACUCAAAGGAGACUGCCAGUGAUAAACUGGAGGAAGGUGGGGAUGACGUCAAGUCAUCAUGGCCCUUACGACCAGGGCUACACACGUGCUACAAUGGCAUAUACAAAGAGAAGCGACCUCGCGAGAGCAAGCGGACCUCAUAAAGUAUGUCGUAGUCCGGAUUGGAGUCUGCAACUCGACUCCAUGAAGUCGGAAUCGCUAGUAAUCGUAGAUCAGAAUGCUACGGUGAAU
rnacentral:rRNA from 1 species